CUACGGGUUGCUCCAGUUAGGUAUAAUCUACAAUGCGCGAAAGCGUGAUAGUUUGAGCCAGAGUGUGUUCCUAUUGGAAUGCUUUUAUGAAAUGUAAAAAGUUUCAUGAAUAAGGACUGGGUAAGACGAGUGCCAGCCGCCGCGGUAAUACUCGCGGUCCAAGUCGCAGCCAUUUUUAUUGGGUCUAAAACAUCCGUAGCUUGCUUGAUAAGUUCCCUGUGAAAUCUGGCCUCUUAAAGGUUGGGCGCGCGGGGAGUACUGUUAAGCUAGAGACUGGGAGACGUAAGAAGUAUGUUCAAAGUAGCGGUAAAAUGUUUUAAUCUUGAGCAGACUCACAAUAGCGAAGGCAUCUUACGAGAACAGUUCUGACAGUAAGGGAUGAAAGCUAGGGGCGCAAAACGGAUUAGAUACCCUUGUAGUC
rnacentral:rRNA from 1 species